ACGAACGCUGGCGGCAGGCCUCACCCAUGCAAGUCGCGCGAGGACUUCGGUCCUAGCGGCGGACGGGUGAGUAACGCGUGGGAACGUGCCCUUUGCUUCGGAAUAGCCCUGGGAAACUGGGAGUAAUACCGGAUGAGCCCUUUGGGGGAAAGAUUUAUCGGCGAAGGAUCGGCCCGCGUUGGAUUAGGUAGUUGGUGGGGUAAUGACCUACCAAGCCGACGAUCCAUAGCUGGUUUGAGAGGAUGAUCAGCCACACUGGGACUGAGACACGGCCCAGACUCCUACGGGAGGCAGCAGUGGGGAAUCUUAGACAAUGGGGGAAACCCUGAUCUAGCCAUGCCGCGUGAGCGAUGAAGGCCUUAGGGUUGUAAAGCUCUUUCAGCUGGGAAGAUAAUGACGGUACCAGCAGAAGAAGCCCCGGCUAACUCCGUG
rnacentral:rRNA from 1 species